AAUAAUUGAAAAAAAAAAUAAUGGUACCCGUAAAUUUCUCUUUUCAUCGAUCAAUCUUCCAGUAUUAUCUCAGUGGUAGCGAGUAAGUAUUGUCGAAUUAUCGUUCAGUCGAUACAGGAAUGGCAGAAACGCGCGCGAAUAAUGCGCUUGCGUCACGCGAAUUCAGACAAAACAACCGGCGCAACGAAAAGUUACCGUCGCGACCAUGCCCGUUCUAAAUAUAAAAUGGGUGUCCGUUGACCGAAAGAAAAAUGGUCGACGAUACGACGAUACCACUUCUAUCCGUUCGUUCUUCCAAGAUUGAAUGCCCAUGGUCGACCUAUUUGCCGGACAGUCCUCGUGCCACGAGAGAACGAAUAUGCAGCGAUGCUAUUUAAUCCGACGGUUUAUUUAAUCCACCAACAUUAUCCACUAGCGUGCAGGAACUUGCUAUGGCGCGCGUGUGCUCGCGUGUGUCCGGUAAAUAUAGACGCUCCACUUGGCACCAGAAAAGAUCAAGGUGUCAUAGAAACGACGCCGUUAUGUCGAUCUGUGCGUGACUUCAUUCUAGUUCCGCCUGGGGAAUUUUACAUUUGCGCAAAGGGAUAUUUUUGGUAAUCAUAGUACACAUCGAUUGCAGUAGUAUAUAUCGAUAUGUCAAUAUUAAACAUGGCAGAUUUCGAUGAAUUAAUAACCUGUACGAUCGGUUUAGUUAAUUUCAAUUAAUCUUUCAAUUUCAUUGAUAUUCAAUUUUAAAGGAAUUAAUAAAAGUGCAAAUUUAUCAUUUAUAAAAAGUGAAACCCGAAGAAAAUAUUAAUUGGUAUAUUUUAUAAGACAACAUGUUUAUGUCUAUUGGAGAAUAAAUCAAUGGCAUUCUAUUCUCAGGUAUAAUUUAUAAUUGGAAAAAUAUUCUAAAUUUCGUGAAUAUAUUAAUAAAAAUUUUCUUAAAUUCGAAUAUAUUCAGAGAGGAAAAUAGCAAAUUGAUAUUUUACAAUUCGACAAACAUUAAUCAUCAAUGUUAGUUUAUAUUUGAACUCGCUUAAUCAUCUUACUCGUGUGAUAUUUUAUAAUUGAAAAAUUUGACAUUUUUAAAAGUAUUCUCAUGACAUACAUUUCUCCAAUUUUAAAAUUAUUCCAUAUCAUUAUUGCAAAAAGAUAAAUUAAAUUAAGGAACGGAAAUAUCGACGAAAGUUUCAUAUAAAAUAGCAAAGAGAUCAAUUCUUUCCCAAUUAAUAUUCAACACCAAACGUAAUUGAAUGGUGCACGAACAUUUCUCUAUGCUUUGUAUUUAUAUUUCAAUCGAAGAAAUUCAUUCGAUUUUAGAACGAAGAGAAAAAUCUGAAAAUGUUAUUCGAUUUUACAAAAGUCUAUCAAUUAGCUGAAAUACCAUUCGAUGGAAUUGUUAACUUUUUGAUGUAAUACACAGUAAUUGCACGGACAUGGAAAUUUAAAAAAUUUGGAACAAGUGUCACGAUUUGUAUUUACCAAAAUGCAAAAAUAGAAAAAGCAUCGGCUUUUUGUCCACACUGUCGAGCUGCAGUUUCAGAUAAAUCCAUAUACCUUUGGACUUCAUCGCGAUUUGCGCGUGCAAUUUCUAAUAAGUAUAACUAAAGUGUCAACUUUUUGAAUCAUCGUGAAUUGCCGCUUCCUCCUUUCCAUUGUAAAAUGAUUUUUACUUCCCAAUCCGAUAACACUGAG